rnacentral:rRNA from 1 species
CAGUCGCCGCGGGAAUACGUAGGGUGCGAGCGUUAAUCGGAAUUACUGGGCGUAAAGCGUGCGCAGGCGGUUCGUUAAGACAGAUGUGAAAUCCCCGGGCUUAACCUGGGAACUGCAUCUUAUACUGCGUAGCUGGAGUGCAGUAGAGGGUAGUGGAAUUUCCGGUGUAGCGGUGAAAUGCAUAGAUAUCGGAAGGAACACCAGUGGCGAAGGCGGCUACCUGGACUGACACUGACACUGAGGCGCGAAAGCGUGGGGAGCAAACAGGAUUAGAUACCCCUGUAGUCCCUGUCUCUUAUAC